UACGUAGGGGCUAGCGUUGUCCGGAAUCAUUGGGCGUAAAGAGCGUGUAGGCGGCUCGGUAAGUCCGCUGUGAAAGUCCAGGGCUCAACCCUGGAAUGCCGGUGGAAACUGUCGAGCUAGAGUCCGGAAGAGGCGAGUGGAAUUCCUGGUGUAGCGGUGAAAUGCGCAGAUAUCAGGAGGAACACCAAUGGCGAAGGCAGCUCGCUGGGACGGUACUGACGCUGAGACGCGAAAGCGUGGGGAGCAAACAGG
rnacentral:rRNA from 1 species